rnacentral:rRNA from 1 species
GUCUACGGCCAUGCCACCCUGAACGUGCCCGAUCUCGUCUGAUCUCGGAAGCUAAGCAGAGUCGGGCCUGGUUAGUACUUGGAUGGGAGACCACCUAGGAAGACUGGGUGCUGUAGGCA